rnacentral:rRNA from 1 species
GUAUGAUUAAAAAUGGAAUGGUUACGCUCAAUUUAGGUACAAUUUUUAGAUGGACGCGACUAGCCAGCACCCGUUGGCUGGCUAGUGUUCCAGGGCACACACCCCAAAUUAGGUAGUAGGCCUUUCCCCGUAUCCAACAGGCAAACCAAAAAGGAAACAAACAGUCCCCCGCACACAUGGCCCCCAGGGGAGAAUCUGACAUGAUCGUAAUUUUUGCUCCGUGUAAGGCACAUGCCGAUGCACCAGACACCCGUCUCGCCUCCUUACCCCAGUCGUAGCCCCCCAAACAUGCCCUUCUCCGUUUGUCCUCUCCUCCAUUGCCACAACUGAUGCCCCCAAUUUUGGUGGUCAUUGAUCUAAGAUUCAGGUGUUCCUGAAUUCCCCAACCCACAACCUCCUCUUGCCCUCUUUCAACGAAUCCAACACCUGAAAAAGCGAGUUUCCAUCUUGAUGUGCCUUCUAAUACGCCUCCUCUUUUACAAAACUCUUGUUCAUCCUGAUUGCAACUGUUUUUU